rnacentral:lncRNA from 1 species
UGAGAGAAGCCUAUGAAGCUGUGAGUAGCGUACCCAAGGAAGUUGCUCCUGUCUAUGACUUUGCAAUUCCUCUUGGCAUGGAAAAUGGAGGGUCAGGUUCCUGAAGGAGUGUGAAAGUGUCAUUUGCUGCAAAAGGUUGGAAUUGUGGAUACCCUGCAUCCUGAACCCGCUGCAGACUGUCUGGAGUACCUGCAGGAGAGCAAAGGCAGAAGAACUGCAUUCGUACUUUGUGGGAGUGAAUUACAGCGAGGACUUCUACCUGCCGCAGCUAUACCCAGGUUAAUAUACCAGUGCACACCAACUGCUUAGGAAUACGUGACAACUCUGUUCUGGGUGCUGGACUGAGAACACCAAACUCGUUUCAUGAGUGAAAGCUUUCAGAAGAACAGUUCUCGGUAAAGGAGAGAAUUUCAAACACCUUCAUAAAUGCAGCGUGGGAUGUUUGUAUCAGCCAACUUUCUAAAUUUUCCUUUUCCUGCCAGAAAUUUUCUUUUCUAAAAAUAUUUGACUUUGCUGUCUAAUCUAGAGAUGGAUAAUAUAGUGCUGAUUUUAAAAAUCUGACUGGUGCAGGAUAUAAGAAUGACUUCUAAAACAGUGCCUGAGUCGCUUUGGAACACAUUUUAUAA